GAUGAACGCUGGCGGCGUGCUUAAUACAUGCAAGUCGAGCGAAAAGACGAGGAUCUUGCGCCUCUGACGUUAGCGGCGGACGGGUGAGUAACACGUGUAUAACCUCCCUAUAUGACGGGGAUAACUUCGGAAAAGCGGCUCUAAUACCGUAUAAUAUAUUGCACCGCAGGGUUCAAUAGUGAAAGACGGUUUUGCUGUCACUUAUAGAUGGAUCCGCGCCGCAUUAGCUAGUUGGUAAGGUAACGGCUUACCAAGGCAACGAUGCGUAGCCGACCUGAGAGGGUGAUCGGCCACACUGGAACUGAGACACGGUCCAGACUCCUACGGGAGGCAGCAGUAGGGAAUCUUCCGCAAUAGGCGAAAGCCUGACGGAGCAACUCCGCGUGAGUGAUGAAGGUCUUCGGAUCGUAAAACUCUGUUAUUAGGGAAGAACAAAUGUGUAAGUAACUAUGCACGUCUUGACGGUACCUAAUCAGAAAGCCCCGGCUAACUACGUG
rnacentral:rRNA from 1 species